CAAAAAGUCCAAGGGUUCCUGCGCAAGGUUAAUCCGCGCAGGGUUAGUCGGCCCCUAAGGCGAGGGCGAAAGCCGUAGUCGAUGGGAAUCAGGUUAAUAUUCCUGAACCUGCUGGAAGCGACGGAUGCCGUAUGUUGUUCGGGCUUAACGGAUUGCCCGGGCCUCGAAGGCGUUCCAGGAAAUAACUCCAGCGUAUAGACCGUACCCCAAACCGACACAGGUGGACUGGUAGAGUAUACCAAGGCGUUUGAGAGAACGAUGUUGAAGGAACUCGGCAAAUUACACGCGUAACUUCGGGAUAAGCGUGACCCUUAAUUGGGCAACCAGUUAAGGGUGGCACAGAAGAGGGGGUAGCGACUGUUUACUAAAAACACAGGGCUCUGCGAAGUCGCAAGACGACGUAUAGGGUCUGACGCCUGCCCGGUGCCGGAAGGUUAAGGAGAGGGGUGCAAGCUCUGAACCGAAGCCCCGGUAAACGGCGGCCGUAACAAUAACGGUCCUAAGGUAGCGAAAUUCCUUGUCGGGUAAGUUCCGACCUGCACGAAUGGCGUAACGACUUCCCCGCUGUCUCCAACAUCGACUCAGCGAAAUUGAAUUCCCCGUGAAGAUGCGGGGUACCCGCGGUUAGACGGAAAGACCCCGUGCACCUUUACUAUAGCUUUGCAGUGGUAUUGGGGAAGGAAUGUGUAGGAUAGGUGGGAGCCUAUGAAGCGAUGUCGCUAGGUAUCGUGGAGGCAACCUUGAAAUACCACCCUUUUGUUCUCUGAUAUCUAACCGUGGCCCAUGAAACUGGGUCCGGGACCCUGCAUGGUGGGUAGUUUGACUGGGGCGGUCGCCUCCCAAAGAGUAACGGAGGCGUGCGAAGGUAGGCUCAAGCUGGUCGGAAAUCAGCUGUUGAGUAUAAUGGCAUAAGCCUGCCUGACUGCGAGAGUGACGGUUCGAGCAGAGACGAAAGUCGGCCAUAGUGAUCCGGUGGUUCCGCAUGGAAGGGCCAUCGCUCAACGGAUAAAAGGUACGCCGGGGAUAACAGGCUGAUCUCCCCCAAGAGUCCACAUCGACGGGGAGGUUUGGCACCUCGAUGUCGGCUCAUCACAUCCUGGGGCUGGAGCAGGUCCCAAGGGUUCGGCUGUUCGCCGAUUAAAGUGGUACUUGAGCUGGGUUUAGAACGUCGUGAGACAGUUCGGUCCCUAUCUGCCGUGGGUGUAGGAUACUUGAGAAGAGUUGCCCCUAGUACGAGAGGACCGGGGUGAACGUACCUCUGGUGUACCGGUUGUGACGCCAGUCGCAGCGCCGGGUAGCUAUGUACGGACGGGAUAACCGCUGAAAGCAUCUAAGCGGGAAGCCUCCUUCAAAACUAGGUAUCCCUGAGAGCCGUGGAAGACCACCACGUUGAUAGGUCAGGUGUGGAAGCGCGGUAACGCGUGAAGCUAACUGAUACUAAUAGCCCA
rnacentral:rRNA from 1 species